UACGGAGGGUGCGAGCGUUGUCCGGAAUCACUGGGCGUAAAGGGCGCGUAGGCGGCCUGGCAAGUCGAUGGUGAAAGCCCGAGGCUCAACUUCGGGUCGGCCACUGAUACUGCUGGGCUUGAGUCGACUAGAGGCAGAUGGAAUUCCGGGUGUAGCGGUGGAAUGCGUAGAGAUCCGGAAGAACACCGGUGGCGAAGGCGGUCUGCUGGGGUCGAACUGACGCUGAGGCGCGCCAGCGUGGGGAGCAAACAGG
rnacentral:rRNA from 1 species